GGUGAACGGUGUGUGUGGUGUCUGUCUGCAUUUAGCGCUUCCUCCGGCCUGUGUUUUGCAGGCUGUGUGGCUGUGCUCACACCACACCUGCAGCCACAGAGACACAGGAGAUCAUAGUACUGGUCUAGUGACUGUCUAUCACUGUCCAGCCUCCAAACUCUCCAACAAAA
ensembl:snoRNA